rnacentral:rRNA from 1 species
AGUGAACGCUGGCGGUAGGCCUAACACAUGCAAGUCGAACGGCAGCACAGUAAGAGCUUGCUCUUACGGGUGGCGAGUGGCGGACGGGUGAGGAAUACAUCGGAAUCUACUUUUUCGUGGGGGAUAACGUAGGGAAACUUACGCUAAUACCGCAUACGACCUACGGGUGAAAGCAGGGGAUCUUCGGACCUUGCGCGAUUGAAUGAGCCGAUGUCGGAUUAGCUAGUUGGCGGGGUAAAGGCCCACCAAGGCGACGAUCCGUAGCUGGUCUGAGAGGAUGACCGGCCCACCUGGAAUUGAGAACGGGCCCAAGCCCCCAGGGGGGGGAGAGGGGGGGAAUUUGGGAAAAGGGGCGAAACCCUGACCCAGCCAACCCGGGGGGGUGAAGAAGGCCUUCGGGUGGGAAAGCCCUUUUGUUGGGAAAAAAAAGAAGCAGGUUAAACCCCCGCUGUUCGGGCGGUACCCAAAAAAAAAGCACCGGCUAACUUCGU